GACGAACGCUGGCGGCAUGCCUAACACAUGCAAGUCGAACGGAUGAUUCCUGCUUGCUCCUGGAUCUCGCGUGGGACGGGGGUGUGAUGCCUGGGAAUAACCCGGGUAGUACGGUAUCACGACUGGAGGCGGGCGCUAAUAAAGCAGAAGCCCAGAGCGAGAAACAGGGUGUGCUUCGGACCUUACGCUAGCAGAGGGGUCUAGGUGGGAUUUGCUAGUUGGUGGGGUAAGGGCUUACCAAGGCGACGAUCCGUAGGUGGUCUGAGAGGAUGAUCGGUCACACUGGAACUGAGACACGGUCCAGACUCCUACGGGAGGCAGCAGUAGGGAAUAUUCGGCAAUGGGCGAAAGUCUGACCCAGCCAUGCCGCGUGUGUGAAGAAGGUCUUCGGAUCGUAAAGCUCUUUUAGUGGUGAAGAACAGCUAUAGGAUGAUACGAAGCUGUUUUGACGGUACCGACCAAAUAAGCACCGGCUAACUACGUG
rnacentral:rRNA from 1 species